GCAUAUCAAUAAGCGGAGGAAAAGAAACCAACAGGGAUUCCCUUAGUAACGGCGAGUGAACCGGGAAAAGCUCAAAUUUGAAAUCUGCCAACAGGCCGAGUUGUAAUUUGUAGAUGGCUACACUGCAUAAUAGUAGAUGCUCAAGUUCUUUGGAAAAAGACAUCAUGGAGGGUGACAAUCCCGUGAGGCAUGUUACUAGGAGCAUAUAGUGGGCUUUCUAAGAGUCGAGUUGUUUGGGAAUGCAGCUCAAAGUGCGUGGUGAAUACCAUGUAAAGCUAAAUAUGGACGAGAGACCGAUAGCGAACAAGUACUGUGAAGGAAAGAUGAAAAGCACUCCGAAAGGAGAGUGAAAUAGUACGUGAAAUUGUUAAAGUGGAAGGGCUUGAGAUCAGAAUUGGUAGUUUGGGUUCCACGUCCUCUUGGGGGCGUGUACUCCCUUUCCACCGGGCCAGCGGGAGUUUCGUCUCUUGGGUAAAAGCAGUGGAAUGUAGCAGCUUGUCUGUAUUAUAGCCUCUGUUCAUACAAGACGUCGAGACUUGAUUUGUUGGCGUAAUGAUCUCUAGCCACCCGUCUUGAAACACGGACC
rnacentral:rRNA from 1 species